rnacentral:rRNA from 1 species
GACGAACGCUGGCGGCGUGCUUAACACAUGCAAGUCGAACGGUGAAGCUCCAGCUUGCUGGAGUGGAUCAGUGGCGAACGGGUGAGUAACACGUGAGCAACCUGCCCCUGACUCUGGAAUAAGCGCUGGAAACGGCGUCUAAUACUGGAUACGAGAAGGGUCCGCAUGGGCACUUUCUGGAAAGUUUUUCGGUUGGGGAUGGGCUCGCGGCCUAUCAGCUUGUUGGUGAGGUAAUGGCUCACCAAGGCGACGACGGGUAGCCGGCCUGAGAGGGCGACCGGCCACACUGGGACUGAGACACGGCCCAGACUCCUACGUGAGGCAGCAGUGGGGAAUAUUGCACAAUGGGCGAAAGCCUGAUGCAGCGACGCCGCGUGAGGGAUGACGGCCUUCGGGUUGUAAACCUCUUUCAGCAGGGAAGAAGCGAAAGUGACGGUACCUGCAGAAGAAGCACCGGCUAACUACGUG